UCCGGAGGGAGCUAACGUUGUUCGGAAUUACUGGGCGUAAAGCGCACGUAGGCGGCCGUUCAAGUCAGAGGUGAAAGCCCGGGGCUCAACCCCGGAAUAGCCUUUGAAACUAGAUGGCCCGAAUCUUGGAGAGGUCAGUGGAAUUCCGAGUGUAGAGGUGAAAUUCGUAGAUAUUCGGAAGAACACCAGUGGCGAAGGCGACUGACUGGACAAGUAUUGACGCUGAGGUGCGAAAGCGUGGGGAGAAAACAGG
rnacentral:rRNA from 1 species